rnacentral:miRNA from 1 species
GCUCUCUAUGCUUUCUGUCAUCC